GCAUUAAUGGGGUAGUGGUAACCUGGGUCGUUGCCAUACGAGGGUGCGUACGAAGUCUGUUUGGACUCUCGACCCGCCGGGGGUUCGAUUCCCCCUUAAUGCA